rnacentral:rRNA from 1 species
UACAGAGGUGGCAAGCGUUGUUCGGAAUCACUGGGCGUAAAGGGAGCGUAGGCGGCGUGGUAAGUCAGAUGUGAAAUCCCGGGGCUCAACCCCGGAACUGCAUCCGAUACUGCCAUGCUAGAGGAUUGGAGAGGUAGCUGGAAUUCUUGGUGUAGCAGUGAAAUGCGUAGAGAUCAAGAGGAACACUCGUGGCGAAAGCGAGCUACUGGACAAUUCCUGACGCUGAGGCUCGAAGGCUAGGGUAGCGAAAGGG